UUGCCACCUGAAAUAUCUCUUUUUCUGUUGAAUAUCUGUCUCUUCCACAGGAAUGUCACCUCCUGAGAUCAGGGACUCCGCUUUGAUAUUCACUGCAUCCCAAGUGCCAAAAAAUACCUCCUGACAUACAUUUGUAUUGAAUGAGUGAUUAGAUGAAUAAUGCUGAACUCUUGAACUAAAAAGCCACAGUUGGGCCAUGGGGAAGCAAGGAAGGCGUCAGCAGAGAGAAGCAGGGAGAGGAAGCAGACACAUUCCUCCCGGAGAGUGGAGAUGCCAGAGAGAGGGGAGAAGCACUGCUCCUGAUGGCCAAGGCCAAGUCCCAGGGGGUCCAGCUGUUUCCUGCCUGCGAUACGACAGCACCACAGACAUACACGCACCAUGCACACACAGACCACACACACCUCAUACACACUAUAUACCCACAGACUGCAGACACCUCACACAUACACAGACCACACACACCUCACACCUCACACACUAUAGACCCACAGACCACACACACCUCACACACACACAGGCCACAGAUAUCUCACACCUCACACAGACCACACACACCUCACACACACACAGACCACACACACCUCACACACAGACCACACAUACCUCACACAGACCACACACACCUCACACACACACAGACCACACACACCUCACACACAGACCACACAUACCUCACACAGACCACACACACCUCACACACA
rnacentral:lncRNA from 1 species